rnacentral:rRNA from 1 species
UACAGGGGGUGCAAACGUUGCUCGGAAUCAUUGGGCGUAAAGCGCACGUAGGCGGUUCGUUAUGUCGGAUGUGAAAGCCCUUGGCUUAACCGAGGAAGUGCAUCCGAAACUGGCGAGCUAGAGUACGAAAGAGGAUCGCGGAAUUCCCGGUGUAGAGGUGAAAUUCGUAGAUAUUGGGAAGAACACCGGUGGCGAAGGCGGCGCUCUGGACCGAGACUGACGCUGAGGCGCGAAAGCGUGGGGAGCAAACAGG